AAUAUUGCACAAUGGGCGAAAGCCUGAUGCAGCAACGCCGCGUGAAUGAUGAAGGCCUUCGGGUCGUAAAGUUCUUUGACCAGGGAUGAUAAUGACAGUACCUCAAAAACAAGCCACGGCUACCUCCGUGCCAGCCGCCGCGGUGCUACGUAGGUGGCGAGCGUUGUCCGGAAUUACUGGGCGUAAAGCAUGCGUAGGUGGAUACUUAAGUGGGAUGUGAAAUCCCCGGGCUCAACCCGGGAACUGCAUUCCAAACUGGGUAUCUAGAGUGCAGGAGAGGAAAGCGGAAUUCCUAGUGUAGCGGUGAAAUGCGUAGAUAUUAGGAGGAACACCAGUGGCGAAGGCGGCUUUCUGGACUGUAACUGACACUGAGGCAUGAAAGCGUGGGUAGCAAACAGG
rnacentral:rRNA from 1 species